CGGGACGCGGCCCCGGCCGGGCUGGAAUGCUGAGUCACCUCCGGCUUCCCCCGCAAAGCCGCGCUUUACCCGCCGCAGAAGGGAUUUGGGAUUUGCAUUAUCAGCACGGGCACACAAGCAGAGAAAAACAGCUUGAGAAAGGAAGAUGAACAUCACCUCAAGGGUUUAUGGUUUCGACCAAAGGGAAGCUGGACAUCACUGUAAUGAGAUUUAGAGUCUCUGCAAUUAAAAGGUGGACACACAUCUGGGGAGCUGGACCCCAUCAGAUGGGAGUCGUCUUUCUUCUUUCAGAAACUGGACCACCACCAUCUGGGGAUACUCCUUUGAGAUACAUCCUGAGAAAUUAAAAUCACAAUCGUGUACAGAAUUGUGAUGUAAUGAUUUGGAAUGAAAAUUGCUGAUGAGUAAAAGAUUGGAAAUAGAAACUGCUGAAAAAAAAACUGAUGAGUGCCCCUAUAAAUACCUGUAACCAUCAAUUAUCGGUGUGCAGUUGGAGGGAAAACUUCCCCCACUGCACCCAGCGCUGUAUUGCUCAUACUUUACCACAUUAAAUAAUAAAUUGAUUGCUGCUUGAA